UUCUACGUCAUCACUAUUUUACUUCUGUUGAAUUUGGUUGUUGCCUUUGUCUUGGAGGCGUUCUUUGCUGAGCUGGAUCUUGAGGAAGAAGAAAAAUGCCAAGGACAGGAUUCUCAACAAAGAAGAAACCGGCGUCGAUCUGCAGGGGCAAUCAAUGGAAGUAGCUAAUUACUCGUCAUCAAGCUAUGAAGACAUAUGUUAAAAACCAACUCAUAUAAAGUUAUUUAUAGUUUAUUGCCCAUAUGAUUUGGUUUAGUGAUUAUUAUGGUAUCGUAAUUACCCACAACACUUUUACAACACUUUUACCAAUCAACUUGUAACCUAUGGAGGAGAU